AUACGAAGGGGGCUAGCGUUGUUCGGAAUCACUGGGCGUAAAGCGCGCGUAGGUGGAUCAGUUAGUUGAGGGUGAAAUCCCGGGGCUCAACCUCGGAACUGCCUUCAAUACUGUUGAUCUUGAGACCGAGAGAGGUGAGUGGAAUUCCUAGUGUAGAGGUGAAAUUCGUAGAUAUUAGGAAGAACACCAGUGGCGAAGGCGGCUCACUGGCUCGGUACUGACGCUGAGGUGCGAAAGCGUGGGGAGCAAACAGGAUUAGAAACCCUUGUAGUCC
rnacentral:rRNA from 1 species